GUAGGUGAAUGGGGAGAAGGUGGUGGUGGGGAGGAAGGUGGGGGGGGGACAGAUGGGUAGAGAGAAGGAAUGAGGGAGGGGGGUGAUCGAAGCUAUGAGAGCAGUUUGACAGGGGAGUCGAAGAGAUUCUCCCUAGUUGAUGGAAGAGGGUGUGACUGCGUCCUCUAGCUUGCAUCAAGGAUGGUUGUGUGCUGCCAUCUAGUUGUGAGGACAUUAAACUACAGUUCAGCACAAGCAACUCCACAGAGUUACUGGGGAUUCACUCUGGACUCCCAGUUUGAUUGAAGUUUAAUAUCAGAAACAUUGUGAGAAAAAUGUUUAACCUCUGUGGAAGCUUUGUGUGGUAAUGAAUGUUAACAUUUAAGGUCAUUCUACUUUUACUUUGAAAGGUAAAAAAAACUAACAUCAAUUCUUAGAAGGUCACUUCUGAACCUCCAGACUUGAGGGAGAGGAGUGACAUCCUGACUCCAUAACCCAGAAUACCUUUCACCUUUCACCAUACCAUGUCCCCUACCAGCCCCCCACCUGUGGCUAAACUGCCCAUCAACAAUAACAGCAGCAAUAACUGAACCAUUUUAUCAAUGAAUUUGAUCAUCAGCAGAAGACCAGGUCCUUCAUGGACCAGGUCCACCAGGACACAGUAGUCUGUAACAUGGGCUGUUUUAUUUCAAAUAAACCCAUAUAGUAUAAUAAGGGAGUUUUACAUGUAUAUCAAGGAGUAUGUAAUUGAGGUAUAUUCAUCACAAUGUGUCAACCUUAUAUUCCCAUUGAAUGACACCAAAAACAAAAAUUAUUUUGUUGAGUCUGACAACCAGUGUACUAAUGGUUGAGUGGAGUUUGUAUUGUGUAAAGGCUAGUUGACUCAUCAAGCUUGGCUGGAGCCCGAGACUGUCAGCAGGAAACUAGAUCAGCGAGCUCUCGGAUUGACUGGAUCCAUAGAUUGUCAGCAGGAAGAUAGGUCAGCUAGCUCUCUGAUAGGGUGAGACUACUCAGUAUAAUAAAUACUAAAGGUGAGCUAGCUGAUUUCAGACCAGCUUAUUGAAAAUAAACAAAGAGGAAAGCAUUACAACAUGUUCUAGAUUUAACAGAAGUUUGGUGAUGCGUUUGUCGGCUCCCUCGCCCCAGUCCCCCCCCUCUCUCUCUCCAGUCCCCCCCCCCCCAAUCACAGCAGUAAGGCAUGCUCGCUAACACGCUUGGCAACUGAAUGCUGCCACAGGUACCCCACCAUCACCGCGAUUGGCUCACACACCACCCAGCACCUGUACUUUAGGCCCUAACCCCUAACACAAAGUGACACACUUAACAGGAAUGCCCCCGAUACACACACACAUGGCACGUGCACACACACACACACACAUAGCACGUGCACACACAUACAUUUGCACUGCAUAAGCUCUGAAUGACCGAUAUGGUGUGCUUUGACGGGGUACCUGUGCAGGUGACUGGGGUACUGAUCUGCUCCAGGAUACUAUGCAUGAAUAUUCUCAGAGAGGGAUUGCAACCUUCACACAACUCCACGACAGGCCCCACAGCUCCACGAUAGGCCUCACAGAGAGGCUAUGUACGUAUGUAUCCAUCUAUGAUCUAUAAUACUAAUAUGCAACAGCCCCUUUCCCUGCAUUCUGCAUCAUGUACUAUAUGAGAACACAACUCAGGUCCCCUUUUAAGUAGUGAGACAAGUGAAGCAGGCUGGGAGGAGAUUUAGGCAGAUUAGGCAGGCUGGGAGGAGGGUGAGGCAGGCUGGGAGGAUGGUGAGACAGGUGAAGCUAGCUGGGAAGAGGGUGAGACAGGUGAGGCUAGCUGGGAAGAAGAUGAGGCAGGCUAGGAGGAGGGUGAGUCAGUUGAGGCAGGUUGGGAAGAGGGUGAGGCAGGAAGACCAAGAUCAGCUCUGGGCCAAAUACAUGAUGUGCACUUGAUUUGAUUUAUCCUGUACAAUGAGCCCAUUAAAGACAUUCCUUUAAAGAUCUCACUCUGCCGCAAAUCAAAUGCACCCAAAAUGCUGUCUACUGUUUCUGAUUGAGAUCUGAGGGAUGUUACAGAGGGAAAGAUCAUGUAGCACCUUGAGAAUUGUUUGUUUUGUUUUUGCUAUUUAUAAUUGUAGAAUAUAAAUAUGUUUCUCUAUCUAUAUAUUUGCAGUAAUUAGCACAAAGAGAAUAGGAUGUCAUGUAAAUGAAGCUACUUUUUUUAACCAGUGAUUGUUUUGGCCCAGUUGUAUCAACCUAGAACCCCAGUGAUGGUCUCUGCUGGAGUAAUAAACAGCUGGUGAAUCCUG